rnacentral:rRNA from 1 species
AGUGAACGCUGGCGGCAGGCCUAAUACAUGCAAGUCGAACGGCAGCACAGCAGAGCUUGCUCUGUGGGUGGCGAGUGGCGGACGGGUGAGGAAUACAUGGGAAUCCUGCCCAGUCGUGGGGGAUAACCGUAGGGAAACUUACGCUAAUACCCGCAUUGCGGCCCUUCGGGGGAAAGCCGGGGACCUUCGGGCCUGGCGCGAUUGGAUGAGCCCAUGUCGGAUUAGCUAGUUGGCCGGGGUAAAUUGGCCCACCAAGGCGACGAUCCGUAGGCCUGGUCUGAGAGGAUGAAUUCAGCCACACUGGAACUGAGACACGGUCCAGACUCCUACGGGAGGCAGCAGUAGGGAAUAUUCGGACAAUGGGCGGCAAGCCUGAUCCAGCCAUGCCGCGUGAGUGAAGAAGGCCCUCGGGUUGUAAAGCUCUUUUGUCCGGAAAGAAAAGCUUUGGGUUAAUACCCCGAAGUCCUGACGGUACCGGAAGAAUAAGCACCGGCUAACUCGUGCCAGCAGCCGC